UACGAAGGGGGCUAGCGUUGUUCGGAAUCACUGGGCGUAAAGGGCGCGUAGGCGGCUUGAUAAGUCGGGGGUGAAAGCCUGUGGCUCAACCACAGAAUUGCCUUCGAUACUGUCGAGCUUGAGACCGGAAGAGGUAAGUGGAACUGCGAGUGUAGAGGUGAAAUUCGUAGAUAUUCGCAAGAACACCAGUGGCGAAGGCGGCUCACUGGCCCGGUACUGACGCUGAGGCACGAAAGCGUGGGGAGCAAACAGGG
rnacentral:rRNA from 1 species